GAUGAACGCUGGCGGCGUGCCUAAUACAUGCAAGUCGAGCGAACGGACGAGAAGCUUUCUUCUCUGAUGUUAGCGGCGGACGGGUGAGUAACACGUGGAUAACCUACCUAUAAGACUGGGAUAACUUCGGGAAACCGUAGCUAAUACCGGAUAAUAUUUUGAACCGCAUGGUUCAAAAGUGAAAGACGGUCUUGCUGUCACUUAUAGAUGGAUCCGCGCUGCAUUAGCUAGUUGGUAAGGUAACGGCUUACCAAGGCAACGAUGCAUAGCCGACCUGAGAGGGUGAUCGGCCACACUGGAACUGAGACACGGUACAGACUCCUACGCGAGGCAGCAGUAGGGAAUCUUCCGCAAAGGGCGAAAGCCUGACGGAGCAACGCCGCGUGAGUGAUGAAGGUCUUCGGAUAGUAAAACUCUGUUAUUAGGGAAGAAUAUAUGUGUAAGUAACUGUGCACAUCUUGACGGUACCUAAUCAGAAAGCCACGGCUAACUCCGUG
rnacentral:rRNA from 1 species